CUUUCAAUCUUUCUUUUUUCCUGGACUUGUAGUUCCCAUCACAUUGGAAGCUGCCAAGGUUCCCAUAGUGAUAAGGUCCACAUCUUGUUCCUGUGCUGCAGGGAGAGCCCUUUGGAACCACUUGGUGGGGCUUCUUUAUCUAAGUGCCCGUUUCAGCACCUCGAACUACAAGAUUGUGCCAUUACAUGUGUCUUGCACUGACAGACUGCAGACCUGGCACAGGCCUCGGACCCAGGGCCCCUUCCUGACCCGGGUGUGAUGUCUGUUGGAGAGAAAUUGAAAGACAUUCAGCCACAGCUGGGGAUCUGUAAGAUUCUUCAUGGACUUGAGGAACUCACCAUGGUGGAGUCCAAAUUUGGUCUUGUGCCCUUUGGAUCAGUUCUAUCAUACCAGUGCCCCCUAGAGAGCGUGCCCUGGUGGGGAAAGUGGACGCGGGGAAGAUCAAGCACAAGUGGGAGAACCUCAAACAAAAAUACAAGGGUGGUCCCAGUGGUCAUCACCCUGGUCAUGGAAGGCCCCCUCCUCCACCUCUGGCUCCACCAAAUCCCCAUUGUUGAUGGAGAGGUUGUGGAGGAAGACACAGGUCGACACCACUGCAGGAACAAAGGUUGGCUUGAUCUACAGGAAAAAAUACAAGUUUAAUGUAGCUGUAUAAUGAAAGUGAACAUGAUUGAAUAGCUCGCAUUACGCUGCUCUUUUGUUUUCAUUAUUGUCUCAGAAUGUCCAUACCUGUAUUACUUUGCUGCUUAUAUUUAAUAGCCACUGCUCAGCACUUAUUCAACUAGUGUGUACUUAGAAUGGCUGCCAUGACGUGAGUGGGUGCUACAAGCUGCAGUCUGCUGGCUCAAUUAUUUGUCUAUUGAGGUCGCUGAGAUUUAUAUUUCCACUCUAAACUUUGCUGAUACUAAUGAACUGCUUGUGGUGAAUCAAAAAACGUAAACUAUAGCAGCCUUCAGCAUCAAACCAACGAGUUAUUGGACCACAUCCUUCUUAUAUUGAGGGAAAAAGUUUGCUGGCCUCACAAUGGGUGAUGCGCAAAUGACUCUCCAAAGUGUCUUGGAUAUGAUGCAGCACAUGAAGCUUGACAUGAUUUCACACAUGGACACUAAAAUGGAUCAACUUGGAGCUAGUCUGACCAAAAUAGAUGGCUCUCUUAGUGUGCCUGGAGAGCAGGUCAACUGGAGAGCAGGUCAACUGGAGAGCAGGUCAACUGGAGAGCAGGUCAACUGGAGAGCAGGUCAACUGGAGAGCAGGUCAACGAGCUUGAGCACAGAGUUAGCUCGAACGAGGAUGACAUCACAGACCUGGCCAGACGUGUAAAAG